UACGGAAGGUCCAAGCGUUAGUCGGAAUUACUGGGCGUAAAGGGUGCGUAGGCGGUUAUAUAAGUCGGCUGUGAAAUUCCAAGGCUUAACCUUGGAGCUGCAGUCGAAACUAUAUAACUUGAGGAAUGGCGGAGAAAAUGGAAUUCCAUAUGUAGCGGUGAAAUGCGUAGAUAUAUGGAAGAACACCUGUGGCGAAAGCGGUUUUCUAGCUUCCUCCUGACGCUGAGGCACGAAAGCAAGGGGAG
rnacentral:rRNA from 1 species